ACUGGUCCCCAGUGAGAUGCAGCGAGCCACACAUCUUGGGAUGUCACAGCAUGGAGUGAUGACUGGGAUACCGCUGGGAAUGGAACCCAGGACAUCACGCAUGCCAUUCAAAUGUUUCUGCUGCCAAAUUACACCUCCAGACCAUCACAGAGGGCCAGGAAAAAAAUCCACUCCAAAUCACCAUAGCUACCUUCCCUGUACCCAACACAUAUUUGCUGAACUCUGUGUAGCUAUCCUGCUUCUUCCUAAGCUGUCACUAGGGAAUGUCACUAGGGACGGGGCUGUUCAGAAUUUGACAAUGAGCAUGUAUCUGUGAAUUGUAUGAUUAAAAAUACAAUUAAAAAUG
rnacentral:lncRNA from 1 species